GCCGUGGUAGCCCAAUCCGGUAGAGGCGUCAGGUCGAGGGCCUGAUCGUUGCGGGUUCGACUCCCGCCCACGGCA
rnacentral:tRNA from 1 species